CUACGGAGGGGGUUAGCGUUGUUCGGAAUUACUGGGCGUAAAGCGUACGUAGGCGGACUGGAAAGUUGGGGGUGAAAUCCCGGGGCUCAACCCCGGAACUGCCUCCAAAACUUCCAAUCUAGAGAUCGAGAGAGGUGAGUGGAAUUCCAAGUGUAGAGGUGAAAUUCGUAGAUAUUUGGAGGAACACCAGUGGCGAAGGCGGCUCACUGGCUCGAUACUGACGUUGAGGUACGAAAGCGUGGGGAGCAAACAGGAUUAGAUACCCUAGUAGUCC
rnacentral:rRNA from 1 species